AGGUGCAGCUUGCUGCUUCGCUGACAAGUGGCGGACGGGUGAAUAAUGUCUGGGAAACUGCCUGAUGGAGGGGGAUAACUACUGGAAACGGUAGCUAAUACCGCAUAACGUCGCAAGACCAAAGAGGGGGACCUUCGGGCCUCUUGCCAUCGGAUGUGCCCAGAUGGGAUUAGCUAGUAGGUGGGGUAACGGCUCACCUAGGCGACGAUCCCUAGCUGGUCUGAGAGGAUGACCAGCCACACUGGAACUGAGACACGGACCAGACUCCUACGGGAGGCAGCAGUGGGGAAUAUUGCACAAUGGGCGCAAGCCUGAUGCAGCCAUGCCGCGUGUAUGAAAAAGGCCUUCGGGUUGUAAAGUACUUUCAGCGGGGAGGAAGGGAGUAAAGUUAAUACCUUUGCUCAUUGACGUUACCCGCAGAAUAAGCACCGGCUAACUCCGUGCCAGCAGCCGCGGUAAUACGGAGGGUGCAAGCGUUAAUCGGAAUUACUGGGCGUAAAGCGCACGCAGGCGGUUUGUUAAGUCAUAUGUGAAAUCCCCGGGCUCAACCUGGGAACUGCAUCUGAUACUGGCAAGCUUGAGUCUCGUAGAGGGGGGUAGAAUUCCAUGU
rnacentral:rRNA from 1 species